rnacentral:rRNA from 1 species
UACGUAGGUGGCAAGCGUUGUUCGGAAUUAUUGGGCGUAAAGGGCGCGUAGGCGGCUUGUUAAGUCGGCUGUGAAAGCCCGGGGCUCAACCCCGGAGGGUCAGCCGAUACUGGCAGGCUAGAGUACGGAAGAGGUAGCUGGAAUUCCCGGUGUAGCGGUGAAAUGCGUAGAUAUCGGGAAGAACACCUGAGGCGAAGGCGGGUUGCUGGGCCGACACUGACGCUGAGGCGCGAAAGCCAGGGGAGCAAACGGG